GAGUUUGAUUAUGGCUCAGAUUGAACGCUGGCGGCAGGCUUAACACAUGCAAGUCGAACGAUGAUUACUAGCUUGCUAGUAUGAUUAGUGGCGAACGGGUGAGUAAUGCUUAGGAAUCUGCCUAUUAGUGGGGGACAACAUUCCGAAAGGAAUGCUAAUACCGCAUACGUCCUACGGGAGAAAGCAGGGGAUCUUUUGACCUUGCGCUAAUAGAUGAGCCUAAGUCGGAUUAGCUAGUUGGUGGGGUAAAGGCCUACCAAGGCGACGAUCUGUAGCUGGUCUGAGAGGAUGAUCAGCCACACUGGGACUGAGACACGGCCCAGACUCCUACGGGAGGCAGCAGUGGGGAAUAUUGGACAAUGGGCGAAAGCCUGAUCCAGCCAUGCCGCGUGUGUGAAGAAGGCCUUUUGGUUGUAAAGCACUUUAAGUGGGGAGGAAAAGCUAAUAAUUAAUNCCUAUUAGGGANGACGUACCCACAGAAUAA
rnacentral:rRNA from 1 species